rnacentral:rRNA from 1 species
GGCGAGUGAAGCGGCAACAGCUCAAAUUUGAAAUCUGGCCUCUUUGGGGUCCGAGUUGUAAUUUGUAGAGGAUGUUUCGGGCACCGCUCCGGUUUAAAUUUCUUGGAACAGAAUGUCAAAGAGGGUGAGAACCCCGUCUUGGACCGGCAGUAGGGCCCAUGUGAAACUCCUUCGACGAGUCGAGUUGUUUGGGAAUGCAGCUCAAAAUGGGUGGUAAAUUUCAUCUAAAGCUAAAUAUUGGCCAGAGACCGAUAGCGCACAAGUAGAGUGAUCGAAAGAUGAAAAGCACUUUGAAAAGAGAGUUAAACAGUACGUGAAAUUGUUGAAAGGGAAGCGCUUGCAACCAGACUUGCGCGCGGCGGUUCCCCCUUCCUUUUGGUUGGGUUAUUCCGCCGUGUCCAGGCCAACAUCGGUUCUGGGGGUCGGUUAAAGGCCUGGGGAAUGUAUCUACCCUUCGGGCGUAGACUUAUAGCCCCGGGUGUCAUGCGACCUCCCGGGACCGAGGAACGCGCUUCGGCUCGGAUGUUGGCGUAAUGGUUGUCAGCGACCCGUCUUG